UUUAAAGUUUCAAAAUUUUGAGUUAAUAUACAUGUAUAAUACACAUGAUGAUAUGAUUACAAAUACAGGUAGCUAAAUGGUUUAUAUGAUAUCAAUGUCGUAGUCACGGAUUGUUUAUUAUCAAUUAUGACUAUCAUAGAUAUACUUUCUGUAUUGUCAGUUAGUGUAUUUAUAAACUCACAACAAUGUGCCUUACUACCAUUGAUAAUAACAAUGCUGUGUACCUGCUAAUUUCUUUGAAGUUGUUUUAAACAAAGUAACUCAUAACUAAAUACUUUAUUUAUAAUAAGUAAACAAAUAAUAAAAUCUCCUUUCAGUAUUGAUGUUCGUAAAUUACUUGCUUUUGAUGAUGUUUCAGUGUCAUUCCACUUCGAAAUUAUAAAUAACGAUUCAAUUAGGUACACAAAAAGCUCAAGAAAAUCAUUGACAGCAUAAAAACGUUCAACUCAUUUAGUCGCACAUAAUUGUUUUAAUGAUUUUUUAGUUAUACAUUUUUGACUUUCUUCGAUUUGACUUUUCAACACAUCUUUUCGCUUUGGAAGAUGAAUAAGAAAUAGCAAGGUUUAAAACAUGAACAGCACAAUGAACAAACGUCGCAAGCGGAUAACUUUGGUGAAUAAGAGAUUGAGCUCCGUUAAAUUGACCAGACAUAGAAGCACAUCCAUCGUAACACUGUCCUCUAAGUAGUAUCUGUUGUAGGCACAAACUGAAGAAUUCUUCCUUGAUAAUCAUAUUUUCAACAUCUAAAUAUCGAACACACAAAGUUACUUGUUCGCUUCCACCAAUGUCGGCCGUUUCAUCAGCAAGUAUUUUGAAACAUCUUUGGGCAUUUAUGUUUGUUACGAUUUUAUUUAAAAUAAUUUUAUUACAGGAUUCAAUUAUUUCAUUUUGAAGUGUUUCACUUGUAUAUUUUAUUGUUUCUUCAGCUUCCAAAAAUUAUUUUAAACGGUCAUCUCCUUGGGCACUGUAUCUUAAUAUAUCUCUAAAAUUUCCUUGAUUUUCUUGGAUAAUUUGUCAUUUUCAUUGAAGUUACAAAGAUAGCCGUUAUUGUCAAAAAUAAUAAUAAUAAUAAUAACAUUAAAAAU